rnacentral:misc_RNA from 1 species
GGGAGCUGAGCCAGCGCCUCUCGAGAUUAGCGGCGAUGGUGAUAAGAUUGCGCCGAAACAGAAAAUAAGAAUCAAGCUGAGGUCAUACUGGGUGUCCCUGAUGGAGGAUUCAUGCAAGCAGAUCAUGGAUGCCGCCCGCAACACCAACGCCAAGACCAUGGGCCCUGUACCCCUGCCCACCAAGAAGCGAAUCUACUGUGUUCUCAAAUCGCCUCAUGUACACAAAGAUGCCCGUUUCCACUUUGAGAUUCGGACCCAUCAGCGCCUGAUCGACAUCCUGUACCCUACUGCUCAGACAAUAGACUCCCUGAUGCAACUCGACCUCCCAGCCGGGGUUGACGUGGAGGUCAAGCUCUGAUUUCAAGCACCGUCCAAUUCUCUGAUAUAAUGUUCGUCUCUUGAAGUAGCAGUGCAAGUCAGGUAGGAGGCUGACAAUUUCG